rfam:Kandleria vitulina DSM 20405 Scaffold8, whole genome shotgun sequence.
UGCAGAGUAGAUGACGAGGCGUUAAGUGCCUAGUGAACGGGGAGUUGUCACUAGGACGAAAAGUAUUAUCUUGCGGUUUCAUCAUCGCAUCCCGCUGCU